CGUCUAGGCGGGGAAUUAAGUUAGGUGUGAAAUCCAUGGGCUCAACUCGUGAAUUGCAUCUAAAACUGGUUCUCUUGAGUCCGGGAGAGGAGAGCAGAAUUCCUGGUGUAGCGGUGAAAUGCGUAGAUAUCAGGAGGAAUACCAGUGGCGAAGGCGGCUCUCUGGCCUAGGACUGACGCUGAAGCGCGAAAGCGUGGGGAGCGAACG
rnacentral:rRNA from 1 species